GUGAACGCUGGCGGUAGGCCUAACACAUGCAAGUCGAACGGCAGCACAGUAAGAGCUUGCUCUUCCGGGUGGCGAGUGGCGGACGGGUGAGGAAUACAUCGGAAUCUACUUUUUCGUGGGGGAUAACGUAGGGAAACUUACGCUAAUACCGCAUACGACCUACGGGUGAAAGCAGGGGAUCUUCGGACCUUGCGCGAUUGAAUGAGCCGAUGUCGGAUUAGCUAGUUGGCGGGGUAAAGGCCCACCAAGGCGACGAUCCGUAGCUGGUCUGAGAGGAUGAUCAGCCACACUGGAACGGAGACACGGUCCAGACUCCUACGGAGGGCAGCAGUGGGGAAUAUUGGACAAUGGGCGCAAGCCUGAUCCAGCCAUACCGCGUGGGUGAAGAAGGCCUUCGGGUUGUAAAGCCCUUUUGUUGGGAAAGAAAAGCAGCAGGUUAAUACCCCGCUGUUCUGACGGUACCCAAAGAAUAAGCACCGGCUAACUUCGUG
rnacentral:rRNA from 1 species